rnacentral:rRNA from 1 species
UGGGGAAUAUUGCACAAUGGGCGCAAGCCUGAUGCAGCCAUGCCGCGUGUAUGAAGAAGGCCUUCGGGUUGUAAAGUACUUUCAGCGGGGAGGAAGGGAGUAAAGUUAAUACCUUUGCUCAUUGACGUUACCCGCAGAAGAAGCACCGGCUAACUCCGUGCCAGCAGCCGCGGUAAUACGGAGGGUGCAAGCGUUAAUCGGAAUUACUGGGCGUAAAGCGCACGCAGGCGGUUUGUUAAGUCAGAUGUGAAAUCCCCGGGCUCAACCUGGGAACUGCAUCUGAUACUGGCAAGCUUGAGUCUCGUAGAGGGGGGUAGAAUUCCAGGUGUAGCGAUGAAAUGCGUAGAGAUCUGGAGGAAUACCGGUGGCGAAGGCGGCCCCCUGGACGAAGACUGACGCUCAGGUGCGAAAGCGGGGGGAGCAAACAGG